rnacentral:rRNA from 1 species
UACGUAGGGGGCAAGCGUUGUCCGGAAUCAUUGGGCGUAAAGCGCGCGUAGGCGGCUCGAUCAGUCUGCUGUGAAAGUCAAAGGCUCAACCUUUGAAUGCCGGUGGAUACUGUCGAGCUAGAGUCCGGAAGAGGCGAGUGGAAUUCCUGGUGUAGCGGUGGAAUGCGCAGAUAUCAGGAGGAACACCAACGGCGAAGGCAGCGCGCUGGGACGGUACUGACGCUAAGGCGCGAAAGCGUGGGGAGCGAACAGG